GUUUCUUCUUUUUCCUUCCCCCUUUUUCUCCUUUUUUCUUCUUGCCCGAAACCCUAUUUUCCCUUUUUUUGUUUUUUCCCAGAUUUCCUUCAGACUCUCCCCACGGUCUCCUCCUUCCUCUCUCACUCUCCUCAAAUGCUCUCCUCCUUUCCCUUCCAACCCUCUUCCUUUGCAGCCUCUCUUCCCUUGCUCUCGGUCCCUCUUUUGUCUUCCUUCGUUUUUUACUUUGUUGCCCGCAGUUUUGCCUUCUUUUCUUGUUUCUUGUUUCCAUAUUCCCUUUUGUUUCUUCAGUUUUUUCCUUCUCCAUCCUCC
rnacentral:lncRNA from 1 species